GACGAACGCUGGCGGCGUGCUUAACACAUGCAAGUCGAACGGAAAGGCCCUGCUUUUGUGGGGUGCUCGAGUGGCGAACGGGUGAGUAACACGUGAGUAACCUGCCCUUGACUUUGGGAUAACUUCAGGAAACUGGGGCUAAUACCGGAUAGGAGCUCCUGCUGCAUGUUGUGGGUUGGAAAGUUUCGGCGGUUGGGGAUGGACUCGAGGCUUAUCAGCUUGUUGGUGGGGUAGUGGCUUACCAAGGCUUUGGCGGGUAGCCGGCCUGUGAGGGUGACCGGCAACAUUGGGACUGAGAUACGGCCCAGACUCCAACGGGAGGCAGCAGAGGGGAAUAUAGCACAAUGGGCGGAAGCAUGAUGCAGCAAAGCCGCGUGCGGGAUGACGGCCAUCGGGUUGUAAACCGAUUUCGCCUGUGACGAAGCGUGAGUGACGGUAAUGGGUAAAGAAGCACCGGCUAACUACGUG
rnacentral:rRNA from 1 species